GGCCUGGCCGUUUGGAGGAGGUGCCGGGGCGGUGCGAAGGGAGGCGGGACAGGGUAGACUCACAGAUCCAGGAGCUGACUGACCCGCCGUGGGCGAGGCAUCGCUGCACCGUCUGGGGCCUCUUCCGCGGUCCCAAGGCCUCCAGAACGAGCCAGGGACCGUCCGCGAACUCCCGAUCCCCGCGCGACGCGUAGGUUUUAUGACGUCACACGGAUUUUUUCUGUGACCGGGGCGUGGCCACGCUUCAGACUCCACAAGGAAAGGAGAGAGCCCCCUUUGGGGCGGAGCCACUGAGAGCUGCGCGGAAGAGGCUGGGUAUGAUAAAAUAUACAGAGGCCCUAAGCUCGGUGCAGCCCACGGGAGUUGUAGUUCUUUCACCUCACUGGCUUCCGCCGGGGUUAGGCUGCAGGAAGUUUCCCGGGAGUUCAUCCCAGCACGAAGCCCUGUCGCGACGCCACGAGCCGAAAACGCUUCUGUGGCGAAGGGAGCGCCGAGAGGUCGCAGCUCUUACUGAAAGGUUGCGGUGGACGCUAGGCCACACCGUUGGCGAUGCACGCUGGAAACCCGCGUGGAUACGGACUCAGUUAACAUCAAACGGAGCGUUUUCGAGGAUCCGAAUUUACUGAGCACUUUCUAGGAAGCGUCCACUGAGCUACGUGCUUUCUAUACCUGAGUUCAACAAUUAACCGUAUUUUUUAAAAUUAACCAUAUUCAUUAUAAUCCGGUUAAGUCAGAAUUAGCCUAUUUUACAGAUGAGGACACUGCGUGCCAAAAAGUAACCUCGCUCAGAAUUUCGUCAUGAAGGAGGAGGGAACCUGUAUCCAAAUUAGGAAGCAUCCUAAAGAAAGGGCACCUUUCCACAGCUCCUCGAAAAUUGGAACCCACUCCUGUUCGCCUGUGUCGGCUGCUGCGCAUUCAAUCAACAUGCAUUUAUUAAGCGCUGAAUGAGGGCCAGGGAUCGUGCUGGGUGCUGAGGAUUGAGUGGCGAACACUUGCGUCAGACAAGUAAAAGGCUUGAAGUUAGAGGAAGGCAGAGUAUGAGAAUUAUAGAAGAAAAACCAUGGUCCUGACUGAACAUGCCUGAGCAUCAUCCUUCCUCUUACAUAACUCAGUCAUUUCCUUCUCUUGUUAAUAAAAUCAGUGGAGUUGAGUUUUCUGUUUGUUGCUUCUCAAAACACCCUAACAGCUACAUAUCCGUAGCAGGAAUCACCAGUAUAUAGGUGGAAAUUGAAGAUAUAGGAAUGGAUGAGAUCACCUAACACGUG